rnacentral:rRNA from 1 species
UGCGUAGGCGGUCUGUUAAGUUGGAUGUGAAAACUCUGGGCUCAACCCAGAGCCUGCAUCCAAAACUGGCAGGCUAGAGUUCUGGAGGGGGUAGCGGAAUUCCUGGUGUAGCGGUGAAAUGCGUAGAUAUCAGGAGGAACACCGGUGGCGAAGGCGGCUACUUGGACAGAAACUGACGCUGAGGCACGAAAGCUAGGGAGCAAACA